GGAAGGGCCAUAGCUCAGUGAUAGAACACCUGCUUUGCAAGCAGAAGGUCACAGCUUCAAUCCCUGGCAUUUCCA